UCGGCCAUAUUCCCCAACCUGACGACUCACUUUGGUGUUAGAGAAACAUAAGUAUUUGAGUGGUUUCCAAAAAAAAAAAAAAGAAGGCUCAUUGAUCACAUUAAGAGUUUGGUAGACCUUUGUUAAUUCGACUUCAAUGGGACUGCGAAAUUAGCUUGAACAAUCCGAAGGUUAAAACAAACGCGGUAGAGGACAUGUACGUGUGCCCCAAAACUUUUCAACACAAUCAAAUUGGAAGUACAUGCAAACAAUUGGGGGUGAUACCCACAGAGAGAACACUGGCCAGAUUCUCUGCAAGAUGCUGUGCCAGGAGGUGGGGGUGGCUUUUACGUGGUAUGGCACAAGAGGGCAGCCUCCACACUACAGUUCUGCCAUGUGCUUGCCUUACUGAAACCAAACCAAGCGAAGCGAAGACAGUUACCCUAAAGGACGCCAAAAAUACUACACGGUCAUGGUUGCGCCACGCCAAGGAGAGGAUUGAUAAAGGAUGCAUUCUGUAAUACCCUGUUCACACGGGUCACCUAAAGGACCUAUAACUUAGGUCCCUUUGCUAAAGGUACCUGGGUAAAUGACGUUCGGAAUCACACGGUA